AACAUUCAUUGCUGUCGGUGGGUUU
rnacentral:ncRNA from 17 species